AACGAACGCUGGCGGCAGGCCUAACACAUGCAAGUCGAACGCUUCAGCAAUGAGGAGUGGCAGACGGGUGAGUAACGCGUGGGAACCUUCCCAGUGGUACGGAAUAGCCCAGGGAAACUUGGGGUAAUACCGUAUAAGCCCUUCGGGGGAAAGAUUUAUCGCCAUUGGAUGGGCCCGCGUCGGAUUAGCUUGUUGGUGAGGUAAAAGCUCACCAAGGCGACGAUCCGUAGCUGGUCUGAGAGGAUGAUCAGCCACACUGGGACUGAGACACGGCCCAGACUCCUACGGGAGGCAGCAGUGGGGAAUAUUGGACAAUGGGCGCAAGCCUGAUCCAGCCAUGCCGCGUGAGUGACGAAGGCCUUAGGGUUGUAAAGCUCUUUUGGCGGGGACGAUAAUGACGGUACCCGCAGAAUAAGCUCCGGCUAACUUCGUG
rnacentral:rRNA from 1 species